rnacentral:lncRNA from 1 species
CCAAGAACUCUUCAUUCUCUGGCAAAAUCCCUCUGUAUAUUGAAUAUCAGCAAUAAUAAUAUUGAUGACAUUACAGACUUAGAACUACUAGAGAAUCUUAAUCAGCUCAUAGCCGUUGACAACCAACUUCUGCAUGUGAAGGAUUUGGAGUUUUUACUGAACAAGUUGAUGAAGCUGUGGAAAAUUGAUCUAAAUGGAAAUCCUGUUUGUCUCAAACCAAAAUACAGGGACAGACUGAUAUUGGUGUCCAAAUCACUGGGAAUCUCUCUUUGAAGCAAUCUGAAAGCUUGCUGACAAAAAAUGAUGUGCAUGAACCUCACCUCUUCCAUAACCCAGAAGAAAAAGAAAAUUUGUUUGUGGAAAAUGAGUAAAUUCAGCCUCAAGUGACAGGAAACGUUUGAUUUUGUUUUUAACCUUAUAUGACUAGGCAACAAUAUCUUUUGUGGGUUUGUAGCUUUAUGGUAUCUCAUAAUAUAAGGAAAAACUUUUAA